AGCGAGGACGCGGCCGGCGCGCUCUCGACCGCGGUUCCCGAGUCGUACGCAGGGACCAUUUGGGAGUCUGCGGUUGGGAGCGCGCCGGGGCGCGGCACGGCU
rnacentral:pre_miRNA from 1 species